ACGUAGGUGGCAAGCGUUGUCCGGAUUUACUGGGCGUAAAGAGCGCGCAGGCGGUCGUUCAAGUCGCGUGUGAAAGCCCCCGGCUCAACUGGGGAGGGUCACGCGAUACUGAUCGACUCGAAGGCAGGAGAGGGAAGUGGAAUUCCCGGUGUAGUGGUGAAAUGCGUAGAUAUCGGGAGGAAAACAAGUGGCGAAAGCGGCUUCCUGGUCCAGCACCGACGUUCAGGAAAGAAAGCGUGGGGAGCAAACAGGA
rnacentral:rRNA from 1 species